rnacentral:rRNA from 1 species
AAUUUUGGACAAUGGGGGAAACCCUGAGCCAGCCAUCACGCGUGUAUGAUGAAGGCCUUCGGGUUGUAAAGUACUUUUGGCAGAGAAGAAAAGGUACCUCCUAAUAAGAGGUACUGCUGACGGUAUCCGCGGAAUAAGCACCGGCUAAAUACGUGCCAGCAGCCGCGGUAAUACGUAGGGUGCAAGCGUUAAUCGGAAUUACUGGGCGUAAAGCGUGUGUAGGCGGUUCGGAAAGAAAGAUGUGAAAUCCCAGGGCUCAACCUUGGAACUGCAUUGUUAACUGCCGAGCUAGAGUAUGUCAGAGGGGGGUAGAAUUCCACGUGUAGCAGUGAAAUGCGUAUAUAUGUGGAGGAAUACCGAUGGCGAAGGCAGCCCCCUGGGAUAAUACUGACGCUAAGACACGAAAGCGUGGGGAGCAAACAG